rnacentral:rRNA from 1 species
UACGUAGGGGUGCAAGCGUUGUCCGGAAUUAUUGGGCGUAAAGAGCUCGUAGGCGGUCUGUUACGUCGGCUGUGAAAAACCUGGGGGCUCAACCCCCGGGCCUGCAGCCGAUACGGGCAGACUAGAAUUCGGUAGGGGGAGACUGAAAUUCCUGGUGUAGCGGUGAAAUGCGCAGAUAUCAGGAGGAACACCGGUGGCGAAGGCGGUUCUCUGGGCAUUACCUGACGCUGAGGAGCGAAAAGUGUGGGGGAGCGAAACAGG